rnacentral:snRNA from 14 species
GGGACAGGUGCUUCUUCAGUGACGAGGGGGGCUGCCACGUGGCCACGCGCUCCACGAUGACCGGGGUGGAGAUCCUCUGCGCCCGGUGCGAUGGGCACUUGGGCCACGUUUUCUUCGGGGAGAGGCACACGAAGACCAACGAGAGGCACUGAGUCAACGGAGCCGCGGUGAGGCACGUCGCGGAGAGCCCGCCCGCGGGCCUGGCUGAGGGGAAGGUCGUCAUGAAGGCGUCC